GACAAAUUCAUAAUGGAUCCUCUCUGUGGUGAGGAAGUUGGCACCUGCUCCUCUUUGAACAUCACUGGAGCAGAUUAAUUUUCAUUUCUCUAUGCAUCAGUGAGGCUGGGAUUUUUUACUUUAUGUAGAGAAACCAUUUUUUUUUGCCUCAUUUUUGAAGAUAAGAAUGGAAAGAAAUAUUCUAGGAAGAAAGAAGUACAGACAGAAAAAUACUUAUGGAAAGGAUCAUCCCUCAAGUACUCAGAGAUCCUUGAAGGCAAAUGGAAGCCAAGCAAAUUACACUUAACGGGCAUUAUCCUUUGUGAUUUCAAGCAGUUGAUCCUCCAGCACGAAGUCGAUUUACCAUGCUUAUUCACAGGUGGGUUGUGGAUCUGUUCCUUCUCAGUUCAGGUGUCUUUUGUGGUUGGGAAGUAAGACUGUUUUGAAAACUGAGAUAGGUGAUCAUGCACCAACUGGGAGAGAGAAGGCUCUGAUUUAAUUUCUUUAAAAUUAUCUGCUAAUGUUUGAAACAUAUCAGAAAUCCUGAUGCUCACUCAUUGGCCCCAUAAUUCCAGUUGACCUUUGAAUGCAAACACUUUGUCUGCUGACUUGAACACAGUGCCCCUGCUCCCCUGAAUGGGGAAGAUUGGGUUUGUUGAGCAGGUUGAAUAUAUCAC
rnacentral:lncRNA from 1 species